rnacentral:rRNA from 1 species
GACGAACGCUGGCGGCGUGCUUAACACAUGCAAGUCGAACGAAGUGGCGCACGUGAGUGUAACGUGUAAUCCACCUGCCCUUCAGAGGGGGACAACAGUUGGAAACUACUGCUAAUACCGCAUACUGAUUGAGGGGAUUGCGUAUGAUGCGCUAGUUGGUGGGGCAACGGCCGACCAGGGCGAUGAUCAGCAGCCGGGCGGAGAGGAUGAACGGCCACAUUGGGACUGAGACACGGCCCAGACUCAUACGGGAGGCAGCAGUGGGGAAUCUUCCGCAAUGGACGAAAGUCUGACGGAGCAACGCCGCGUGAGUGAUGACGGCCUUCGGAUUGUAAAGCUCUGUUAAUCGGGACGCGGUACCGAAAUAGAAAGCCACGGCUAACUACGUGCCAGCAGCCGCGGUAAUAC